UGGGAGGAGGGGGAGGGCCUGGGGGAAUGGGGCGGGAGGUGAGCGAGUGGUUCCCGGAUGGUCUUGGAGGCGGAGACACUGGGGAGUCCCGGUAGGCGGUCUGUCCGCAGCCUGCGCUAGUUACCUUCAGCCUUUGAGCAGGUAAAAGAAACUUAAGCUCGCAAAGCGAAAAUAGCACGGAAGGACUGGGAUCUUCUUCUUCCCGGAGCUUCGGAAGCUGUAGUCUCCUCGUCCCGCAUCCUGUGAGCGCCCACCCACCUCGCGUCCCCAGCGCAGCAGGGAAGCCAGCGGACGCUUUAACCUCUCAGUGACCACACUGGCCAAGGCGAGGGACUUGAGUCUAAGACUGUGGGGCUCUCAGGGGCUCCCACCCUCCACCUGACCAGAAGAACCCAGCAUGUGUCCUGGGGGCCACCAGGAGCAGGAGGCCAUGAGGCCAUCGGAGGCUGCAAAUCACAUGGAGUUGGACCCACCUGGGUGUCUACUGCCCCUGCCCCUAUGCUGAUGCUUGGCAUGGGUGCAAGCCUCAACUGACAUAGGCUCCCCUGGACUGACUGUGGACCUUCUAAAAGUCCACCCGCCCUCAUCUGGACUCGCGCUGACAACGUCAGGAGCCGGAGCAGGGUUCAGUCCUGGCAUGGUGCAAGGCCCACAGCCUCCCCUGCAGGGCACUUCUGCUUCUGUUACCCUCUCCUUUGGCCGCUGCACACAGCCCCCCAGCAGGCACCACCCGCACCUGGGACUUUGAAGCGCCAAGGUCGCCUUCCAGCCAUGCCCCUAAGCUGGCCCCGGGUUUUCGGGGUACAACAGGGGCUGUAUAGAGCCUCUGGACCCCUCCCCCACUAGGUAGCCUUGCUCGCCCCGCAGCCCCCGAGCCAAGAGCGCAGUUCCGAGGCUUCCAGCGUCUUUUCGCCUUCCCCCUACUCCCGUUUUCCGCCGGGCAAACUGCGCCCAGGUAGAAGCACGGCUGAGGCCUGGCCACAGAGCCCGCUGGGCAGGCCAGGGGCGGGGGAGCGGGCCUGGUUUGGGCGGGGCGCUUAAGCCUUGAGGGGCGCCGCUGCGGUCGCAGCAGAGAAGGGGCCACGUGCAGGGAGCCGCGGCCGGGGAGCUGCACAGAAGGCGGGGAGAUUUGCAAACUGUUGCUGCCACAUGGCUGCUCCUUUCGAUCCAUUCACAUUGAAAUGAGGCCGGCGCGUGCCUCAUCUGCCGCAGGGCGCUGCCACGCGUCAGCCCGGCCCGCCGCGUGCCAACUGGGGCAGUGGGGCUGGCAGGGCCUGCCAGUCGUGGGGGCGCAGCCCGAACCCUGAGGCCAGGAGGGGGGAGGGGAAGGGAACCGAGUUAUCUUAGCCGCUCAGGCGCCGCAGUUUUUCGCGGACCUUGGCCCUGCAAUUGGGAUCGAGCCGACGAGAAAGGCCCGGGACGGACGGGUUUCGGAGGGGGGCCAGGAUCGAUGCCGCCGCUCCCCGCAGAUGCGCCCCGGCAGCGCUACUCUCCAUCUGCCGCUGCUCGCACCUGCCGGUCAAUAAAUCGAUUUUACAAUUUAA